rnacentral:rRNA from 1 species
UACGGAGGGUGCAAACGUUGCUCGGAAUCAUUGGGCGUAAAGCGCACGUAGGCGGCCUGAUAAGUCGGGUGUGAAAGCCCUGGGCUCAACCCAGGAAGUGCACUCGAAACUGUCAGGCUUGAAUAUGGAAGAGGGUCGCGGAAUUCCCGGUGUAGAGGUGAAAUUCGUAGAUAUCGGGAGGAACACCAGUGGCGAAGGCGGCGACCUGGGCCAAUACUGACGCUGAGGUGCGAAAGCGUGGGGAGCAAACAGG